CCGCCGGCGACCGGCGCACGGGUGAGUAACACGUAUGCAACCUGGCCGUGACAGAUGGAUAACCGGGAGAAAUCCCGCCUAAUACAACAUAAUGCCGGGAGGGGACAUCCCCUGCCGACCAAAGGGGGCGACCCCGGUCACGGAUGGGCAUGCGGCGCAUUAGGUAGUUGGUGGGGCAACGGCCCACCAAGCCGACGAUGCGUAGGGGUUCUGAGAGGAAGGUCCCCCACAUUGGAACUGAGACACGGUCCAAACUCCUACGGGAGGCAGCAG
rnacentral:rRNA from 1 species